rnacentral:rRNA from 1 species
GACGAACGCUGGCGGCGUGCCUAACACAUGCAAGUCGAACGGAACUGUUUUGAAAGAUUUCUUCGGAAUGAAUUUGAUUUAGUUUAGUGGCGGACGGGUGAGUAACGCGUGAGUAACCUGCCUUCAAGAGGGGGAUAACAUUCUGAAAAGAAUGCUAAUACCGCAUGACAUAUCGGAAUCACAUGGUUCUGAUAUCAAAGAUUUUAUCGCUUGAAGAUGGACUCGCGUCCGAUUAGUUAGUUGGUGAGGUAACGGCUCACCAAGACCGCGAUCGGUAGCCGGACUGAGAGGUUGAACGGCCACAUUGGGACUGAGACACGGCCCAGACUCCUACGGGAGGCAGCAGUGGGGGAUAUUGCGCAAUGGGGGCAACCCUGACGCAGCAACGCCGCGUGAAGGAUGAAGGUUUUCGGAUUGUAAACUUCUUUUAUUAAGGACGAAAAAUGACGGUACU